AUGCUGCUCCAAAGAUUUCCUGGGGUCCGCUUCCAACUUCUCACUCGGAUCUCAGAGACCGUCCUGUCCCCUUGGGUGACCCUACAGGUCUCUGCACCAAGCAACCUGUCUUGCCUGACAGACCCCAAAGCCCAGCGUCAGGAUGGACACGACUCGCUCCUUCUUCUCACCCACCACGUGAAAUCACGGCCGCCUGUUCUGUUCGGCACCCUGUCCUGGCCACACAGCGACAGACCGGACACUUGUUAAGCAUCAACAAACGUUGGUCGAAUAAAUACACGAACUACGAGAA